CUCCAGGAGACUGGGAGGGCCUGGUGCUUGAUCCUGGUGCCUAAGGUCCAGACACCAUGCUUCCUGAGCCAUCCAGUUUCACGCCUCCUUGGUCUCCGUCAUUCUGGCCAGCUGGCCUGUGUCUGAGCUGCUGCCUCGGGGACCCAAACCUCCUGGUGCUCUGAGGCUGCCCCAGUUAGAACUGCGACAUACUGGUCCUUUUGGCAGAGGAUGUGGAGCUCAAAUCUGAUCCAUGUGUGAGCCAGCUGAACUUGGGAGCUGUUCCCAGGGAAGUGACGUUCUAGAGCUGCCCCCUCCCCUGAGCCUCGGGCCUCCCUACUGGACACACUCAACUGGGGGCCACAGAACAAAUUCCAAGACAGAAGUUUCGAGAACGAUGAUUCAGAGGCUCGCAGAGGACAUUUAUGGGCGCGGGGCCCAGGUCCGGGACACCGCCCGCAGUUCCCACUUCGGGAAGUGCCAAGCGCGCGCGGCGCCUGGACUGCUCAGCCCCCCCGCAGCCCCUCCGUCCACGCCCGGCUCCUCCUCCUCCUCCUCCUUCCCCCCGGGUGGGGGGAGCCGGCUCCGGAAGCCCCGGCGCCCCCGCCCCGGCCGCCACUGGCGCUUUGGAGAAGGCGGUCCGCGCGGGAGCGCGCCACGCGGGACCUGAGCUCCCAGCCGCCGCCAGCGCCUUGGAGCCCCCUGACCAUCCCUGAGCCCCCACCGACCCCUGAGUCACUGCCUGGCCCGGAGCACCCCCGCGCCGCAAGCCGGAGUCCCCUACCCACCCCUAAUCCUCCCACCCGCCCCUCCCCGGAUCACCC
rnacentral:lncRNA from 1 species